rnacentral:rRNA from 1 species
GCAAGUCGAGCGAGAUUUUUUCCUGUAGCAAUACAGGGAAACGUCUAGCGGCGAACGGGUGCUUAACACGUGGGCAAUCUGCCGAGAAGUGGGGGAUAGCUCGCCGAAAGGCGAAUUAAUACCGCAUGUGAUCAGAGUGGACAUCCAUUCAAAAUCAAAGUCGGGGCAACCUGACGCUUCUUGAGGAGCCCGCGGCCUAUCAGCUAGUUGGUGAGGUAACGGCCCACCAAGGCUUUGACGGGUAGCUGGUCUGAGAGGACGACCAGCCACACUGGGACUGAGACACGGCCCAGACACCUACGGGUGGCAGCAGUCGAGAAUUUUUCUCAAUGGGGGAAACCCUGAAGGAGCGACGCCGCGUGGAGGAUGAAGGUCUUCGGGUUGUAAACUCCUGUCAUUUGGGAACAAUGCGUAAAUAUUAACUGUAUUUGCGUUGAUAGUACCAGAAGAGGAAGAGACGGCUAACUCUGUGCCAGCAGCCGCGGUAAUACAGAGGUCUCAAGCGUUGUUCGGAUUCAUUGGGCGUAAAGGGUGCGUAGGCGGCGCGGUAAGUCGGGUGUGAAAUCUCGGGGCUUAACUCCGAAACUGCAUUCGAUACUACCGUGCUUGAGGACUGGAGAGGAGACUGGAAUUUACGGUGUAGCGGUGAAAUGCGUAGAUAUCGUAAGGAAGACCAGUGGCGAAGGCGGGUCUCUGGACAGUUCCUGACGCUGAGGCACGAAGGCCAGGGGAGCAAACGGGAUUAGAUACCCCGGUAGUCCUGGCAGUAAACGGUGCACGUUUGGUGUGGGAGGAUUCGACCCCUUCUGCGCCGGAGCUAACGCGUUAACGUGCCGCC